rnacentral:rRNA from 1 species
UACAGAGGUCCCAAGCGUUGUUCGGAUUCACUGGGCGUAAAGGGUGCGCAGGUGGGUUUGCAAGUUCGAUGUGAAAGCCCCGGGCUUAACCCGGGAAUGGCAUUGGAUACUGGCAGAUCUGGAGGAUCGGAGGGGGGACUGGAAUUCCUGGUGUAGCGGUGAAAUGCGCAGAUAUCAGGAGGAACACCGGUGGCGAAGGCGGUCUCUGGGCAUUACCUGACGCUGAGGAGCGAAAGUGUGGGGAGCGAACAGG